GCUCUUUUGUCAGGGAAGAAACACCGGCUCUAACACAGUCCGGGAAUGACGGUACCUGAAGAAUAAGCACCGGCUAACUACGUGCCAGCAGCCGCGGUAAUACGUAGGGUGCGAGCGUUAAUCGGAAUUACUGGGCGUAAAGCGUGCGCAGGCGGUUAUACAAGACAGGCGUGAAAUCCCCGGGCUUAACCUGGGAAUGGCGCCUGUGACUGUAUAGCUAGAGUGUGUCAGAGGGGGGUAGAAUUCCACGUGUAGCAGUGAAAUGCGUAGAUAUGUGGAGGAAUACCAAUGGCGAAGGCAGCCCCCUGGGAUAACACUGACGCUCAUGCACGAAAGCGUGGGGAGCAAACAGGAUUAGAUACCCUGGUAGUCCACGCCCUAAA
rnacentral:rRNA from 1 species